GCCGCCGCCGCGCCGAGCCGAGCCGAGCGGGACGGGGCCGGACGGGACGGGACAGGACGGGGCGGGAGGAUCCGCCGCAGGGGUGCCUGCACCGUGUCCCCGGCUCCACCAGCCACAGCAGCGCCUGGUCCUGCUCCCGGUCCUGCUGCGCCGGGAGAAGGCUGACUUUUACGACCCGUGGUGGGACUAGCAU
rnacentral:lncRNA from 1 species